rnacentral:rRNA from 1 species
AACGAACGCUGGCGGCAUGCCUAACACAUGCAAGUCGAACGAGACCUUCGGGUCUAGUGGCGCACGGGUGCGUAACGCGUGGGAAUCUGCCCUUGGGUUCGGAAUAACAGCGAGAAAUUGCUGCUAAAUACCGGAUGAUGACGUAAGUCCAAAGAUUUAUCGCCCAAGGAUGAGCCCGCGUAGGAUUAGCUAGUUGGUGAGGUAAAGGCUCACCAAGGCGACGAUCCUUAGCUGGUCUGAGAGGAUGAUCAGCCACACUGGGACUGAGACACGGUCCAGACUCCUACGGGAGGCAGCAGUAGGGGAAUAUUGGACAAUGGGCGAAAGCCUGAUCCAGCAAUGCCGCGUGAGUGAUGAAGGCCUUAGGGUUGUAAAGCUAC